rnacentral:rRNA from 1 species
UACGUAGGGUGCGAGCGUUGUCCGGAAUUAUUGGGCGUAAAGAGCUCGUAGGCGGCUUGUCGCGUCGGCUGUGAAAACUCGGGGCUCAACCCCGAGCCUGCAGUCGAUACGGGCAGGCUGGAGUCCGGCAGGGGAGACUGGAAUUCCUGGUGUAGCGGUGAAAUGCGCAGAUAUCAGGAGGAACACCGGUGGCGAAGGCGGGUCUCUGGGCCGGAACUGACGCUAAGGAGCGAAAGCGUGGGGAGCAAACAGG